UCCAGAGGGUGCGAGCGUUGUCCGGAAUCACUGGGCGUAAAGGGCGCGUAGGCGGCCUGAUAAGUAGGGGGUGAAAUCCUGUGGCUUAACUGCAGGGCUGCCUCCUAGACUGUUAGGCUCGAGCACGGUAGAGGCAGAUGGAAUUCCCGGUGUAGCGGUGGAAUGCGUAGAGAUCGGGAAGAACAUCGGUGGCGAAGGCGGUCUGCUGGGCCGUUGCUGACGCUGAGGCGCGACAGCGUGGGGAGCAAACAGG
rnacentral:rRNA from 1 species